rnacentral:tRNA from 1 species
GGUAAAAUGGCUGAGAUUUAAAAGUGAUAGAUUGUAAAUCUAUUUAGAGGAUGAAUUGUUCCUUUUUACUA